AGAUUUCGAUUAUCUCCAGCAAUCAACGCUGCCAUGAGGGGGUGUUAUUUUUGCUGUCCUGGUCUGGAGUGUCUUCAAAUAUUCCACCUUUCUAACAUUUGCAAUAUCCAAUUGGUUUUGCAGUGAAAAGGAUGAUACAUGUCGCAUUUUUUCUUGCUGUAACGACAGCCUUGUGUGCAGAGGUCUGCUCAACAUACAGAACAAAGAAUACACCUACAGAUGCCUGGAUCCUCUACCUUCCAAAAAUGGUUAACUUAGCUGGUUUUAUUUGAAAAUAAAUUAUGUUUAUACUUUUC